rnacentral:rRNA from 1 species
GACGUAGGAGGCGAGCGUUGUCCGGAUUCAUUGGGCGUAAAGAGCGCGCAGGCGGCUUGGUAAGUCGGAUGUGAAAUCCCGAGGCUCAACCUCGGGUCUGCAUCCGAUACUGCCCGGCUAGAGGUAGGUAGGGGAGAUCGGAAUUCCUGGUGUAGCGGUGAAAUGCGCAGAUAUCAGGAGGAACACCGGGGGCGAAGGCGGAUCUCUGGGCCUUACCUGACGCUCAGGCGCGAAAGCUAGGGGAGCGAACGUGG